CUGUUUAAUCGCGUUUUUUUUUUAUUACUUAGGAACGAUUCUGGCAUUUACGGUGUACAGUUCAUUAUCCAGUCCUCAGUUAAGGGCCCUGGACAUAUUGAUUCGAGGGUGGAGUCAUUACUGAAGAACUUUGAGAGUAAACUUUACGAGAUGAGUGAUGAGGAUUUCAAUAGCAAUGUAACAGCUCUAAUAGACAUGAAGCUUGAAAAACACAAGAACUUGAAGGAGGAAUCCCGGUUUUACUGGCGAGGGAUUCAAAGUGGAACACUCAAAUUUAAAGAGGCAGAGUCAUAAUGAUUUAAAAAUAAAAACGUUGUCGUAAAUAUAGUAAAAGUAGUACUGCCAUCCUCAUAAAAAAAAAUGUUAGUUUGUAUCUUUUUUUCUUUUUUAUCUGUUAGUUUGUAUCUAUUUUCUGUUGUAAAAAUUGAUUAAUAAGUGAAUAAAUAAAAACAUCAAAGUGGAAAAUUCGUUAGUACUUA